GGAAUUGAAGCUUAGUGGUAGAGCAUUUCUCUGACAAGCACAAGGUCCUGCGUUCAUGUCUCAGCACUGCCA
rnacentral:tRNA from 1 species